AGAACGAACGCUGGCGGCAGGCUUAACACAUGCAAGUCGAACGGUUGUAGCAAUACAGCAGUGGCAGACGGGUGAGUAACACGUGGGAACCUUCCUAGGGGUACGGAACAACUCAGGGGAAACUUGAGCUAAUACCGUAUACGUCCGUGAGGAGAAAGUUUUAACGCCCCUAGACGGGCCCGCGUAGGAUUAGGUAGUUGGUGAGGUAACGGCUCACCAAGCCUACGAUCCUUAGCUGAUCUGAGAGGAUGAUCAGCCACACUGGGACUGAGACACGGCCCAGACUCCUACGGGAGGCAGCAGUGGGGAAUCUUGGACAAUGGGCGCAAGGCCUGAUCCAGCCAUGCCGCGUGAGUGAAGAAGCCUUC
rnacentral:rRNA from 1 species